AGGGUUCGAUUCUGGCUCAGGAUGAACGCUGGCGGCGUGCUUAACACAUGCAAGUCGAACGGGAUCCAUCGGGCUUUGCCUGGUGGUGAGAGUGGCGAACGGGUGAGUAAUGCGUGACCGACCUGCCCCAUGCUCCGGAAUAGCUCCUGGAAACGGGUGGUAAUGCCGGAUGUUCCACAUGAUCGCAUGUGAUUGUGGGAAAGAUUCUAUCGGCGUGGGAUGGGGUCGCGUCCUAUCAGCUUGUUGGUGAGGUAACGGCUCACCAAGGCUUCGACGGGUAGCCGGCCUGAGAGGGCGACCGGCCACAUUGGGACUGAGAUACGGCCCAGACUCCUACGGGAGGCAGCAGUGGGGAAUAUUGCACAAUGGGCGCAAGCCUGAUGCAGCGACGCCGCGUGAGGGAUGGAGGCCUUCGGGUUGUAAACCUCUUUUGUUAGGGAGCAAGGCACUUUGUGUUGAGUGUACCUUUCGAAUAAGCACCGGCUAACUACGUGCCAGCAGCCGCGGUAAUACGUAGGGUGCAAGCGUUAUCCGGAAUUAUUGGGCGUAAAGGGCUCGUAGGCGGUUCGUCGCGUCCGGUGUGAAAGUCCAUCGCUUAACGGUGGAUCUGCGCCGGGUACGGGCGGGCUGGAGUGCGGUAGGGGAGACUGGAAUUCCCGGUGUAACGGUGGAAUGUGUAGAUAUCGGGAAGAACACCGAUGGCGAAGGCAGGUCUCUGGGCCGUCACUGACGCUGAGGAGCGAAAGCGUGGGGAGCGAACAGGAUUAGAUACCCUGGUAGUCCACGCCGUAAACGGUGGACGCUGGAUGUGGGGCACGUUCCACGUGUUCCGUGUCGGAGCUAACGCGUUAAGCGUCCCGCCUGGGGAGUACGGCCGCAAGGCUAAAACUCAAAGAAAUUGACGGGGGCCCGCACAAGCGGCGGAGCAUGCG
rnacentral:rRNA from 1 species